AAAUGCCAUUUUUAUAAAUUUUUUGUAAUAAAUGUAUGGCUUUUUUAAGUUCACUUAGAAGCUAUACUCAUAAACUUUACAAAAAACUUUGGUUUUUUCCUUUCAGUCAAUUCUAUUGGAUGUUAUCGUGUACGCAGUGUGGAAGGAAUUUUUUAAGGCAGUUGUGCAUUUUUGCUUACAACUUAUAAUUAAAUAAAUAAAAUUUUAUAAUAAAAAUUGUUUUGAGUACCUAAAGACAUGCAUAAUAAGUGAAAAAAAUCGCAAAAAGAUCCAUUGCUUAGUUUCAUUAGAAAAAAAAUCAUAAAUAAAUGCUUAAUUUUGGCCUCCUAAUAUAGACGGCCCCCUUAAACACGCGGCUUUAUUAAUUAUUUUCGGAGCCGAGCGGUGGUCACAUUGACUGGAUAUCGAAUAAUCGCGACGAAUAUACGGUUACACCGAUAGCGAUUCUCGUGCAAUGUACGAAAUGGAUGAUCGUCACGUUUGGACGUUCGCACGAAGAGUGGUGUCAGGAGAACACCAGGUUUCGGAAUGCCGGAAAACGAAAUUCGCAAAUUUUCGCCGAUGUUCGAAGCUCGGCGUGAACGACGCAUGAUGGGCGCGUAGCUUGCUGUGCGAAGCGCGGAUCUCGUCAAUUCGAGGCAAAUUCUUAUGAUUGUUACAAUACUCAUUCCGCAACAUGUACUACGCUUGCUCUGCAUCAUGUUGUGUCUUACGCAGCACUCGAGGUUUGCGUAGACGACGAAGAGCACUCAUUCCUUUGUUUAUAUUCCAGAAAUUCAACUAUUUGUCGUCUUCAGUGGCAAUAUGAUAGCGCAGCCGUUCAUUUUCUGAUAGUCCACAGCGUGUGAUUGCAGCCUCUUUCGUACAAAGAAAAAUAGUGCAAGCACCUAUAAAAAUAAAGAAAAAAGUUUUAAUUACUUUUUUGCUGGAACAUUGGCUUGAAGAAUAUUCUUUUCUAUGUAGUAUACAUACCGAUCGCAAAUGGUUUUUUUUUUUCCCCAUUAUGUUUGCUCAGUUGUGAGCUGAUGAGGCAGGGCAGAUUUUUUAUCCAGGCAAAGUGACUCACGCUGUCUUCGCGCGAAUUUUGCACGUAUAAUAAGUUAACGUGCUUCUUUUUUUGUCGUUGUUGACACAUUGUUGAGUCUCCCAAAUUUCUCAAUACCCUUUAGUGUAACGGGAAACUCGAUGUUAUCGAACUUUAGAAUCGUCGUAUAAUGAGUGUAUGACUCUGUUUCUGAAUUUUUUUCAGCAGGGUGCAGAGCGGCGACCACUGACCACGCGAAGCAUGCAUUGUCUUUCAAAUUAACGUUAACAACUGCACGCUUCAUCAUUAUUUCUUGCGGUAAUGUCACGUAACAUCUCACAUGUAGAGUAUUGUACUUAUUUAUAUUUAUAGUCAAAUUUAAGAUUCGCGAAAACGCCCACCCGCUAUCGCGUUCCUGAAACUCUUCGAGCGACGUCAAUGUGGGCUCGAAAAUGCGUUGCUCGUACUACUUGUCUAAAUCUGACAUUUGGAAUAGUUUACUGUUUUUCGUGUUUAUACUUUUGUUGGCACGUUUUUUGUCUGUUACAAACACACCGUUAAAUGCAGUGUUUACUUUCGCACCGUUGUGUUUUUCUAGAGCGUCCCACACUCGCUCGAACACUGUACCCUCUGCGUCUUCUGAAAACGUUCACGGUUUGAUGUAAUUUACAUUAUUUAUCACACCGGUUAGAAUGGGAUUUUCAAAUGCUGUAUCUAUCUUUCGCCACACGAGUCUGUCCGCGUUAUUACUAGUGCUUGCGUAAUUACCACCUACAUGCACAAAACGUCUCUCUACUCGACCUUUUUCACCCUCGAGUCGGGCGAUCCUCGCCACCAAUGAUUGUCUUUGUUCGACGGCAAAUCAAGGACGCUUGACGCUAUAUUCCUCGAGCUGUUGUAUAAAUUCGUCACAUCGCUGCAACCAUGUAAAGCAUUCGCCCAAAGUAGUAACCCUGUCGGCUUGGUCCAACAGCUUGCGUUUCUCCUGCUUGAAAUUAUUCUCCAUUUUUUUAUGUCUUCACUUUUUUUUUUAAAACAAAACCACACAAUCUUUAAUUGAACACUUGCAUGUAAUUCGGUAGCACCAAAUGCAACAUUUAUAUAUUGUCUUUAAUUUCAAAGUGCAUUAGUCUUUUUUUCACGCACAAUAAAAAUGCGCACUUCCUUCUCUUGCUCAGAUAUCUUCAUCUAUGUUGUAUAAUUUUAUACUAAGAAAGUGUUUACGCACAUUGGACACAUGUUGUCUGGAAUUAUUACCCGGGUUGACGACAGUUUCAAGUGCGUUAAUUCACAUUCACUCGAAUUAUUUUUUCAUGUUGCGCUCGGAUCAUAAACUUUGCAUCAAAUGUGAUACCAUGCGCUUCCUGAUCAGUUAUAUAUAAUCUCUUCAUUUCUUUGUUUUAAUUAAAGCAUUGUCAUAUUAACAUUUACUAUCUAUUGUUGCAGCAGUUGUACAUCUACGCUCUGCAAGAUUUGCCUUCUUCUAAUGCGCGAUUUUUGAAUGAUCUCAUCAGAAGGUGUCAAAUGAUUUAUGUAUGUGUCUAAAACGUAUUUUUGUCACAGCAGCGGCGCUUGACUUUUGCAAGAUUCUUCGAAUGUACGUGCGAUUUUUGAUCUCAUCAGAAGGUAUCAAAUGAUAAAAUAUGUAUCAAAUGGAGACUAUGGGAUUUGUUCCCAAUACUAUUAGUGGGGUAUGUCGAGGGGUAUGCAAUAUAAAGAGAGUUCCGAUUUUGUUAUUGCAUCACCCGUUUGCUAAAAGACGGACAGCAAAGGUUUCUGAAACAUUACAGCUCAGUCAAUCGGUGAAAGACGAACUUCUCAAAGAUAAGCUAUUACGUUCCGAUCCAGCAAAAUAAAGCGUUUAAUAAACCAAUAUUAUCGUAACCGCGUUAUAAUCCACGCAUCUUGGGAAGGAGAUAUGCCUUGACUGCUAAAGCAUAUAAAUAUUUGGAUAUAGGAAUCGGCGUGGGGCUUGAGCCUUUUGUGGAAAUGGUUCUUGGUGACAACAAAGGCAAUGAAACACUGCUGUCAUAUCACACAUGGAUAAUAAUGAUUGAAAAACGUAUGGAUGUCAAGCGACUCCUGCAGUCAGCCACCACUACAUCGCUAUGGAUUAAUAACGUUCUUAUAGAACUUGUCAAAAUACGUAACGAGAGUGCCGUAAAAUUCAAUGCCUUAAAUAACAAAAUUAUAUACACGAAACCAUCGACUGUACAAUUUUUACUAAACUUGAAGAUGUUAUCAAUAAUGCAUAUUUUAAGUUGUCGCAAGAUAUGUAUGUAGUAAAAGAACGAUAUAAUCAAUUUGUAAAUUGUUUGUAGCGAAAUAAUAUUCAUAGCGAGUGCGAUGCAGUCAAAUUAUUAAAUGAAAUAUGUUUAAAAACUUCGUUCGUAGAUUACGAACUGAUGGCUUAUGCAUCAGAUAAUAUUGUAUACAAUGCGUUACGAAAUGAAAAAAAUUUGUAAAUAA